GAUGAAGAACGUUGCGAAAUGCGAUAAGUAGUGUGAAUUGCAGAAUUCAGUGAAUCAUCGAAUCUUUGAACGCACAUUGCGCCCCUCGGUAUUCCGUGGGGCAUGCCUGUUCGAGCGUCAUUUAACCCCUCAAGCCUAGCUUGGUAUUGGGUGCUUGUCCCGCCUCUCGCGCGGCGACUCACCUCAAAGUCAUUGGCAGCCCGCAUCUCGCCGGCCGUGAGCGCAGCACAGACGCGCUCUUGGCAACGACGGAUCGGCUCUCCAAAAGCUUAUUUCAACCACUGACCUCGGAUCAGGUAGGGAUACCCGCUGAACUUAAGCAUAUCAAUAAGCGGAGGA
rnacentral:misc_RNA from 1 species